UGGGGAAUUUUGCACAAUGGGGGAAACCCUGAUGCAGCGACGCCGCGUGAUUUAGAAGGCCUUCGGGUUGUAAAAAUCUUUUCUAUGGGAAGAAAAUGACAGUACCAUAGGAAUAAGGACCGGCUAAUUACGUGCCAGCAGCCGCGGUAAUACGUAAGGUCCGAGCGUUGUCCGGAAUCAUUGGGCGUAAAGGGUACGUAGGCGGGUAAGCAAGUUAGAAGUGAAAUCCUAUAGCUCAACUAUAGUAAGCUUUUAAAACUGCUCAUCUUGAGGUAUGGAAGGGAUAGUGGAAUUCCUAGUGUAGCGGUGAAAUGCGCAGCUAUUAGGAGGAAUACCGGUAGCGAAGGCGACUUUCUGGCCAUAACCUGACGCUGAGGUACGAAAGCGUGGGUAGCAAACAGG
rnacentral:rRNA from 1 species